CCGCCACCUUCUGGGUUCAAGCCAUCCUCCCACCUCUCGGCCUCCCAAGUAACUGGGAUUGCAAGUGCGCACCACCACACCUGGCUAGUUUUUUUUUUUUUUUUAAUAGAGAUGGGGUUUUGAUAUGUUGCCCAGACUGAUUUCGAAUCCUGGGCUCAAGCGAUCUGCCUGCCUCGGCCUCCCAAAGUGCUGAGAUUACAGGCAUGAGCCACCAUGCCUGGCCAAGAUACCAAAAUCUUUAUUUAAGAUGUUUAAUUGGGUUGCUUUCUUUAUUGUUAUUCUUCUUUUAUUUUAUUUUAUUUAUUUAUUUAUUUAUUUGAGACGGAGUCUCGCUGUGUCGCCAGGCUGGAGUGCAGUGGCGCGAUCUUGACUCACUGCAAGCUCCCCCUCCCGGGUUCACACCAUUCUCCUGCCUCAGCCUCCCAAGUAGCUGGGACUACAGGCACCCGCCCCCACGCCCAGCUAAUUUUUUGUAUUUUUAGUAGAGACGGGGUUUCACCAUGUUAGCCAGGAUGGUCUUGAUCUCCUGACCUUGUGAUCCUCCUGCCUCGGCCUCCCAAAGUGCUGGGAUUACAGGCGUGAGCCACCACACCAGGCCUCUUUUAUUUUUUUAGACAGAGUCUCGUUCUUUCACCCACGCUGGAGUGCAGUGGCAUGAUCUUGGCUCACUGCAGCCUGUCAUUCCCCUCGACUCCAGGUUCAAGGUGAUCCUCCCACCACCUCAGCCUCCGAAGUAGUUAGGACCACAGAUGCAUGCCACCAUGUGUGGCUAAUUUUUGUAUUUUUAAUAGAGAUGGGGUUUCGCUAUGUUGCCCAGGCUGGUCUUGAACUCCUGAGCUCAAGCAAUCUGCCUACCUUGGCCUCCCAAAGUGCUGGGAUUACAGGCAUGAGCCACCAUGCCUGGCCAAUUUCUUACUGUUGGGUAGUAAGAGUUCUUUAUAUAUUUUGGAUAUAAGUGCUUUGUUAGGCUGUGUGAUGUUCAUACAUUUUCCCCAUCUGUGCCUUGUGUUUCAUUGUCUUAGCGGUGUCUUUUUCCCAGAGCAUAAGUUUUAAAUUUUGAUGAAGUCUGAUUAACCACAUUUUUUCUUUUACACAUUUGGUGUUCAUCUAACAGCUCUACCUAACCCAGACCUUGCCAGACUUUUUCUGUAAAAGGUCAGAUAGUAAAUAUUUCAGCCUUGCUGUCCCUGUUGCAGCUCUGCCAUUGUAGCAAUGAAAGCAGUCAUAGACAAUAUGUAAAUGAAUGAUAAUGGCUGUUCCAAUAAAACUUUAUGAACACUGCAGUUUGAAUUUCACAUAAUUUACAAAUUAUCAAUUAUAUUGUUUCGAUUAUUAGAAAAACAGGUAGUGGAUUGGCCAUGGUUUGCUGAUUCCUGGCCUGACAAACCCAAGUUCACAAAGAUUUUCCUCUUUGAUUUUGUUGUGGUCGUUGUUCCACACCUUCUUUUUUCACUGUUUCCUUAAGGUAGAGUGUACAUAUUUAUAAGGGUACAUGUAAUAUUUUGAUAGAUUGAUACAGUGUGUAAUGAUCAAAUCAGGUUAAUUAGGGUAUCCAUCAUCUCAGAUGUUUAUCCUUUUUUUUGUAUUGGGAAGAUAACAAAUGUUCUAGCUAUUUUAAAAUAUACACUAAGUUAUUGUUGACUCUAGUCACCCUACUGUGCAAAUAAAAACUGAAACGUAUUCCUUCUAUCUUGCUGAGUUUUUAUGCCCAUGAAUCAACUUGUCUUCAUCCCUACCUGCUUCCCAGCCCCCGGUAACCAUCAUUCUACUGCCUAUCUCCAUGAAAUCAACUUCUUAAUCUCUCAUAUAUGAAUGAGAAUAUGUGAUACUUGUCUUUCUGCCCUUGGCCUAUUUCACUUAACAUAAUGUCCUCCAGUUCUAUCCAUGUUGCUGCAAACAGAUUUUAUUUUCCAAACCUUAAGCUUUAUAGAUGACUUCACUUUUUAAAUGGCUGAAUAAUAUCCUCUUGUGCAUGUAUACCUCAUUUUCUUUGAUUUUUCUUUCUUUCUUUUUAAAUAGAGAUGAGUUCUCACUAUACUGCCCAGGCUGGUCUUGAAUUUUUUUGCUCAAGCAAUCCUCCUGCCUUGGCCUCCCAAAGUGCUGGGAUUCCAGGCUAAACCACUGUGCUCCUUUAUGCGUUUUUUUGUUUUUGUUUUUGUUUUUAGAGACAAAAUCUUGCUCUGUUGCCCAGGCUGGAGUGCAGUGGUGCGAUCUUGGCUCACUGAAGCCUCCACCUCCCAGGUUGAAAUUAUUCUCGUGCCUCAGCCUCCCAAGUAGCUGGGAUUACAGGCACCCACCACCACGCCCAGCUAAUUUUUGUAUUUUUAGUAGAGAUGAGGUUUCACCAUGUUGGCCAGGCUGGUCUCGAACUCCUGACCUCAGGUGAUUCGUCUGCCUUGGCCUCCCAAAGUGAUGGGACUACAGGCAUGAGCCACUGCGCCCAGCCCCUUUGUGCACUUUUAAAAACAUAUCUUAGAAUUUGUGAUACAUGUUUUAUUUUCAUUUUCAUUUGGUUCACAAUAUUGUAAAAUUUCUACUAUGACUUACUCUUUGACCCAUGAUUUGUUUUAAAACGUAUUGUUUAAUUUUCAAACAUUUAGGGAUUUCCCAGACAUCUUUGUUGUUGGUUUCUAAUUUAAUUCCAUUAUGGUUAGGGAACAUACUCGUUAUGAUGAAUUAAAAAAAAAUGUAGAGGUUUGUAUAUGGCCUGAAACAUUGUUUGUUUAGGUCAAUGUUCAGUUUGUAAUAGGAAAGAUGUGUUCU
rnacentral:lncRNA from 1 species